rnacentral:lncRNA from 1 species
UUAAAGUCCUGACUGCAGAUUUAGUUGCAAGACACAGAAAAGCAGCAAGUAUUGUUCUGCCUUCUGAUGCCUAACAUGAUCUAAUCCCAAUCUCAGAUUUACCCGCAGCAUCAGGUGACGUUCUCUGCAUGGUUCAGUGUCAGUGGCUACAGCCUGUACAGUAAGGCAAGCAUGACCAGCUUGGGGUGCCAGGGCUUGCAUAGAUUGCACCCCUUACUAUACUAAAGCAGUUACCCCCACCCCUGCCUUGGGCUAGCAUUUUCUGAAGGCUAAGUUUGGUAGAAAUUAUCCCAGCUGCAUUUAAAUGCUAUAACCCAUCAAGCUCAAAAUUCUAUGCAGUUCUUGGUUAUUAAAAAUUUUAGGUCAACCUCCUUAUUCUCCAUGUAUAGUUCCUUCAGUAAGAGAACAAAUAUAAAACCAAAAAUUCAGCUACAUGACCCAGUAUAAGUUUCCAGAAACCAUCGAGGUUGAAAAGCAAGCAAGCAAACAGAACCCCCACAUAGUCCUUGCUGAUUACAGCAUCAUCGAAGCAUGAAGCCACCCAGUCCAGGCCCCUCCAUAAGUCUCAAUACUUUUGGGUUCUUUUCUCUCCAAAAUUACUUCUUAUAUAUUUCUCAGGGUUCCUAACCAACUUGGUC